rnacentral:rRNA from 1 species
GACAGAGGGUGCAAGCGUUGUUCGGAAUUAUUGGGCGUAAAGGGCGCGUAGGCGGUUAGGUAAGUUGAAUGUGAAAUCCCAGGGCUCAACCGUGGAAGUGCAUUCAAUACUGCCAAACUAGAGUCCCGGAGAGGGUGGUGGAAUUCCCAGUGUAGAGGUAAAAUUCGUAGAUAUUGGGAGGAACACCGGUGGCGAAGGCGACCACCUGGACGGAGACUGACGCUGAGGCGCGAAAGCGUGGGGAGCAAACAGG